rnacentral:rRNA from 1 species
GUGCCAGCAGCCGCGGUAAGACGAACCGUGCGAACGUUGUUCGGAAUCACUGGGCUUAAAGGGCGCGUAGGCGGCUUGCCAAGUCAGGGGUGAAAUCUUUCGGCUUAACCGGAAAAGUGCCUUUGAUACUGGCGAGCUCGAGUGAGGUAGGGGCAGAUGGAACUGUUGGUGGAGCGGUGAAAUGUGUUGAUAUCAACAGGAACGCCGGUGGCGAAAGCGAUCUGCUGGACCUCUUCUGACGCUGAGGCGCGAAAGCUAGGGGAGCAAACGGGAUUAGAUACCCCUGUAGUCC